rnacentral:rRNA from 1 species
CUCCCGCCGGCGACCGGCGCACGGGUGAGUAACACGUAUGAAACCUGCCCGUAGCAGGGGGAUAAGCGGAAGAAAUUCCGUCUAAUACCGCGUAACAACCCGAGGAGGCAUCUCCUCGGGUUUAAAGGAAGCGAUUCCGGCUACGGAUGGUCAUGCGUCGCAUUAGCUAGUUGGCGGGGUAGCGGCCCACCAAGGCGACGAUGCGUAGGGGUUCUGAGAGGAAGGUCCCCCACACUGGUACUGAGACACGGACCAGACUCCUACGGGAGGCAGCAG